CAAUAGCGUAUAUUAAAGUUGUUGCAGUUAAAAAGCUCGUAGUUGGAUUUCGGGGCAGCCUGGCUGGUCCGCCGCAAGGCGAGUACUGGUCAGCCGCCCUUCCUCUCGAAAGCCCCGACUGCUCUUCGUUGCAGUGGUCGGGUAGUUCGGGACGUUUACUUUGAGAAAAUUAGAGUGUUCAAGGCAGGCCUACGCCUGAAUACAUUAGCAUGGAAUAAUGGAAGAGGACCUCGGUCCUAUUUUGUUGGUUUCCAGGGCCGAAGUAAUGAUUAAGAGGGACAGUUGGGGGCAUUCGUAUUUAAUUGUCAGAGGUGAAAUUCUCGGAUUUAUGAAAGACGAACAACUGCGAAAGCAUUUGCCAAGGAUGUUUUCAUUAA
rnacentral:rRNA from 1 species